UGCAAGUCGAGCGAACAGACGAGGAGCUUGCUCCUCUGACGUUAGCGGCGGACGGGUGAGUAACACGUGGAUAACCUACCUAUAAGACUGGGAUAACUUCGGGAAACCGGAGCUAAUACCGGAUAAUAUAUUGAACCGCAUGGUUCAAUAGUGAAAGACGGUUUUGCUGUCACUUAUAGAUGGAUCCGCGCCGCAUUAGCUAGUUGGUAAGGUAACGGCUUACCAAGGCAACGAUGCGUAGCCGACCUGAGAGGGUGAUCGGCCACACUGGAACUGAGACACGGUCCAGACUCCUACGGGAGGCAGCAGUAGGGAAUCUUCCGCAAUGGGCGAAAGCCUGACGGAGCAACGCCGCGUGAGUGAUGAAGGUCUUCGGAUCGUAAAACUCUGUUAUUAGGGAAGAACAAAUGUGUAAGUAACUAUGCACGUCUUGACGGUACCUAAUCAGAAAGCCACGGCUAACUACGUGCCAGCAGCCGCGGUAAUACGUAGGUGGCAAGCGUUAUCCGGAAUUAUUGGGCGUAAAGCGCGCGUA
rnacentral:rRNA from 1 species